rnacentral:rRNA from 1 species
CACGGGUGAGUAACGCGUGGAUGAUCUACCCUUAAGUUUGGGACAACAGUUGGAAACGACUGCUAAUACCGGAUACGGCACCAUUUCAUCUUGGUGUUAAAGGAGGCCUCUGCUUGCAAGCUUCGCUUUAGGAUGAGUCCGCGUUUCAUUAGGUAGUUGGUAGGGUAACGGCCUACCAAGCCAACGAUGAAUAGCUGGUCUGAGAGGAUGAUCAGCCACACUGGGACUGGAACACGGCCCAG